UCCAUCCAGAGGGCCAAUCUGCUGUUUAGUGUCUUCCAUCUUUAUUGGUUGGUUCUGCUGCCUGUCACUAGUGGAUCAACUGUACAUUUGCACAUGUACAACGCUAACUCUACUUGGACAAACAGCCUCAAAUGUGUUGCCACAGAUGUUCAGUCAUUCUGCGUUGCAUAUGAGUUAAUUGCGUUAAAAUUUUUUAUCAGAUAAAUCAUAAUGAUGGAUUAAUCUGCAUUAACACAUUAAUUUUGACAGCCCUAAUAUAUAUAAAUGGAAACUUAUUGGAGGGUACAAAUGAAGUGAAUGAGACCAGAAUAACUCAUGUGAAAAAUGUAUUUACUUAAUGACUGUGCUAAUUCUAAGGAGAAGUUUAAUUGAAACCUUUAAUAUCCAGGUAUUUUUGAAGCCAGAGUUUAGUGGCCUGUUCAUUUUAUAUCUUACACUUUAAGAUGCAAUUGAAGGUUAAAACAGCCAAAAAAAUCAAAUGGACCCAGAUUGUAUUACAAUGUUUUUAAUCCAGAUCACUGCCUAUGAUCUGAGUUGUGUUCAGUCUGCUCACUCAUACUCAACAGAAACUCUGAUCAUUGCUCCUGCUAAAAAGAUCCCCCUGAUCAAAAAAACACCUUGGUGCUUUGGGCUCAUCUGUUAAAACCAGCCUCAGAAAUCUUGGGGUUGUGUUUGAUCAGGCUAUGUCUUUGGAGGGUAACUCCAGACAGCUGACCAAAAACUGGUUUUAUCACUUGAGAAAUAUCUCUAUAGUAAGGAGGAGGUUGUCAAAAUCAGAUCUUGAAAUGAUCAUUCACGCCUUCAUCUCAUCUCGUAUUGACUACUGCAAUUCUUUGUUCUCUUGUUUCAAUGAGACGACUCUAAACAGACUUCAGAUGGUACAAAAUUGUGCCGCUAGACUUUUGACAGGUACGCCCAGAACAGCCCACAUCACCCCCGUUUUGUCAGGUCUUCAUUGGCCUCCAGUCAAAUUUCGUAUUGAUUUUAAAAUUUUAGUCCUGACUUUCCGGGCGCUGCAUGGUCAGGCCCCCCAUUACAUUGCCGACUUGUUGUGCCUGUACUCCUCAGGGUGCACCCUUAGGUCUUCAGGCUAGAGCCUCCUGAAGGUCCCAAAGACUCAUUUUCAAACCCGGGUAGACCUGUACUUUCAGGCUGUAGCCCCCAGACUCUGGAAUGACCUGCCCCUGUCCCUCUGUGUGGUCGACUCUGGACUCUUAAAAAGCAUCUCAAGACAUUUUUAUUUAGGAAAGCUUUUGGUUGAUGGAUUUAUCCUUUUUAUUUAUUUUAUGAAAUUAUUCUUAUGUUGUUUUAUUGCACUCAUUUUACGCACAGCACUUUGUGAUUUUUAUCUGUGAAAAGUGCUUUAUGAAUAAAGUUUACUUACUUACCUCGGAGUAGAAACAGCCGAUGGACUUAUCGAACUGCACUAUUACAACACAGUAUUGCAUUAAGGAUUCCACUGUUGACACUAGAUCAUUAUUUAGAUCUUAAAAUAUUCAAUAAUGCCUGCUUCCAGUUUGCAAAAACAGUUUUUUCAAGAUGUGUUAAAGUUUCCAAAGUCAUGGCUGUGUUUGUCAGUUAGAGUUUAUCACAGAUAUUUCAACUGUCAAACUAAAUGUCAUUCAAGAAAACCUGUUGGAGAUCAAAAUGCUAAUUCAGUUCUGGGAUUUGAGAUUCAUUUAUAGAGUGCCAAAGUGUCUAUAACUUAAUAACAAAAUACCCAAACAGCGUUUACAGUUUAUGUAAACCACUGGGAAAUGUUUUAAAAUGAAGUACUUUAAUUUAAAAUGAACAAAAUGCAGAGUGCACUGUUCAAUUUCUGACACUUUAUCCCUUUUGUUUAUGUUAGGUAUUUCAAUUAUUAAAGUUAUUGAAACCUAAACCACUAGAGACCUGUUCCACUGAAGGUCAAGAAUGAAAACUGAGCACACGUUAUUAUAAUCUAUAUCAUCUCAUUAAAACGUCUGAAUUUGGUAAACACAAGUCAGGGGUUGUGGGAGUCAUGGGAAAUUGAAUGAACAUGUAUGUAGAUAUAGAUAAUGCAUAUUUUUCUUAUAUUCUUGCAUCAUUCACACUGUCAGAUUUCUAUUACUGUGCUUUAAUAAUGUCUACAGCUUUAAUCAUUGGAUAUUUAAUGUUUUUUAUUUAACCAGUAAGUGCUUGCCUAAUCAAUAACUUUCACAUCUUUUUCUUAGAACAUCCGACAGGUUCUAUGAUAUUUAUGCUUUUUGACAUAUAUCCUACACGAUUUAUAUUUUUAACAUUUGCAUAGAUGUAUGUGCUUUGUUGCUUCUUGAAGAAUUUAGGUUUUCUCAGUAAUUUCAGUUUUGUUGAUUGAUUGAUAACACUUGUGUUGUUUUUGCUUGCAAAUUAUAAUCAUACUUCAGUUUGGAUUUGAUUCUCAUUUGCACCUUGUUCAGGUUACAUUUUAAUCUGUGAAUUGAUGAUUGAUAAUUCGACUUAGCUUUUGUGCUUGUGUUGGUGUUUGACUUAUUUGUAUGCUUACAUUUGAAUAUUAAAAAAAAAAUUGCUAAA